rnacentral:rRNA from 1 species
GAUGAACGCUGGCGGCGUGCCUAAUACAUGCAAGUCGAGCGAACAGACGAGGAGCUUGCUCCUCUGACGUUAGCGGCGGACGGGUGAGUAACACGUGGAUAACCUACCUAUAAGACUGGGAUAACUUCGGGAAACCGGAGCUAAUACCGGAUAAUAUAUUGAACCGCAUGGUUCAAUAGUGAAAGACGGUUUUGCUGUCACUUAUAGAUGGAUCCGCGCCGCAUUAGCUAGUUGGUAAGGUAACGGCUUACCAAGGCGACGAUGCGUAGCCGACCUGAGAGGGUGAUCGCCCACACUGGAGCUGAGACACGGUCCAGACUCCUACGGGAGGCAGCAGUAGGGAAUCUUCCGCAAUGGGCGAAAGCCUGACGGAGCAACGCCGCGUGAGUGAUGAAGGGCUUCGGAUCGUAAAACUCUGUUAUUAGGGAAGAACAAAUGUGUAAGUAACUAUGCACGUCUUGACGGUACCUAAUCAGAAAGCCACGGCUAACUACGUG